rnacentral:rRNA from 1 species
UACGUAGGGUGCGAGCGUUAAUCGGAAUUACUGGGCGUAAAGUGUGCGCAGGUGGCCGCGCAAGUCGAGUGUGAAAUCCCCGAGCUUAACUUGGGAAUUGCGCUCGAAACUACGUGGCCAGAGUGUGGCAGAGGGAGGUGGAAUUCCACGUGUAGCGGUGAAAUGCGUAGAGAUGUGGAGGAACACCAAUGGCGAAGGCAGCCUCCUGGGCCAACACUGACACUCAUGCACGAAAGCGUGGGGAGCAAACAGG